rnacentral:lncRNA from 1 species
AUUGAAGUGACUCGUACUGAUGUUAAGAAUGUGUUAGCAAAUUUAAUGGUACAAUCAGUAUUGAUCGAAUAGAUAAAAGCGGCCCAAUAAAAUGAUAUUCAUUUAUGUCAAUUUAAGAAGGACAUGGAGAAAGGGCUACGGACUGAGUUUAGGCUACAUACAGAUGGAACUUUUUAUUUUAGGAACAGAUUAUGUAUACCAGG